rnacentral:tRNA from 1 species
GCUAGCGUAGCUUAACUAAAGCAUAACUCUGAAGAUGUUAAGAUGAGCCAUGAAAAGCUCCGCAGGCA